rnacentral:sRNA from 1 species
GGGGCGGGACCCAACUGAUUGUCAAAGGCGGCAGAUUGUAGUUUUUGUUUUGGCCGGAAAGGCUUACCAUGAAUUGCCAGGGCUGAGAGAGAUGGAGAAGGAUUCGCGGCGGUGACAGAUUAAAUUCCACAGUUACAUUAUAGACUUGGAAACUUGUCCUUGUGUGAACGGGAGCCGGAAAGCCUUGAGAACUUAUUCCUCGACCCGGACAUGGCACAUGAGAAAAUGAAACUAGGUUUCAAGUCGCUGCCGAGUUCCACUACCGCAGACGGCAACAUUCUGAGAAGAGUCAACAGUGCCCCUUUGAUCAAUGGACUUGGUUUUAAUUCACAGGUGUUGCAAGCUGACAUGUUAAGAAUUAGGACAAACAGAACAACGUUUAGGAAUCGACGCUCUCUGGAAAUUACUUCACCCACUUCUGUUGAACAGAAGCCCAAAGACCUCUUCUGACCUUGAGACUAUGCCUUCUCCCAAAUCGCCCCUUUGCUUUAUCUCCUAAGAACUCUGAAGUUGCCAUGCCUGUUCCUUUCUCUCCCACCAGGAAUUCUGGCACUUCUGCUCAAGCCGGGUGUCACUGCGUCACUUCUCCAUCCCCACCCCCUCCUCUUCCAAAGGAAGCAGGGGAAAUGUCUCAUCUUCCUAAGAGAAAAGGUUGUGCUUUUCUCGAGCAAUUCAUCUGUUCUAAUUUUAGGCCUACUGACAUCUGUCUCAUUAGGUUUUGCUUUUCCUAUUGGCAACCACAAACCCCAAAUCUAGUGUAUGGCCCACAAAGUUGCAAGCAUGUAAUACAUUCCUGAUCCUGCUUUAUGCCCUGCACAUCUAGCCCAUGUUCAGUUCAUGUUAAGUAGCAUUAUAAACCAUCUUAAAUCUCUUCUGAAACUAGGCAGAGACAUUUAUAAACACAGUGUACAACCCUUUGUUUAGGAUUUUCUGAGCAUUUUAUCUCUAGUUACUAUAGUAGGAAAUGGCUUAAAAACAGCAAACCUAGGAAAAUGAAAAAUAAUUUUUAAAAAUCUUAAUGUCUUUACAAUAUGAAUUUUCUGUGAUCUCUCUUAAAUGGAACUAAGCUUGGUUUUUCCUCCUAUCUUAAUCCCUUCACUGGAGAUAAUUCUUAGUAAUUAGCUUCACCCAGCACCCUCCCUAACCUCCCGCUACUUCUACUCCAAGCCACCUUCACACCAUGACAUCAUUCCUUGGUGCUGAUACUCUUGGUUCCUUCCAAAGACUUUUCUUUCUUCCUGGAGUGUGAGAAAAAGGCACAGUGGGAAAUUUACACAAAAGAUACCAGUGAUGUUUAUUACAUCUCAGUAAAGUCACUAUUUCUAUUUUAAUACUUUGUUUCAUGUGGAAAAAUUAUCUAAGGUAAUUCCUUUGCAAACGCCACUUGUAGUACUUAAUUUGGGGAGAAUUCUCUUCCAGAAGCCUUGUUUUCUGCAAUUAAUUUCUCACAUUAUUACUAAAAGAAUCAGCCAAUACAAGAUUUGAUCCACAUUUUGUCCAAUUAAAAAAAUUCUUGUAGCUUAUGAUUCUGUAGCUCAAGUUCAAAUCCUACCUACCUCAGACAUUUCACACUAUCUCCCUGCUGGUGUCAUCAAUUUCAGUCCAUCUUCUCAUGAUUUCCUGGAUGAAGUUUUUCAGUGGGAAAUCCUAAGCCUUUGCCUGAACCUAAACUGGUUCCUUCCCAUCCCUUAGGUAUAAAUUAAAAAUAAUCUCUUCUAGGGAAGUCUUUCAUCAUUAUUUUAUGAAGGAAAUUUGCCAUACCAUGUUUUCUCACUUAUAAGUCGGAGCUAAAUGAUAAGAACUUAUGAACACAAGGAAACAACAGACACUAGGGUCUACUUGAGCGGGGAGGAUGUGAGGAGGGAAGCAGAAAAGAUAACUAUUAGGUACUGGGCUUACUACCUGGGUGAUGAAAUAGUAUGUACAACAGGCCAGGCGCGGUGGCUCACACCUGUAAUCCCAGCACUUUGGAAGGCCAAGGUGGGCAGAUCACCUGAGGUCAGGAGUUUGAGAUCAGCCUGGUCAACAUGGUGAAACCCCAUCUCUACUAAAAAUACAAAAAAA